GGUCAGAAUAGCUUAAUUGGUAGAGCAACCCAGUCCGGAAUAAUAUCUUAUUAAGAUGGCUGGUUUCGGGUUCGAAUCCCGAUCUGACCU
rnacentral:tRNA from 1 species